UACGGAGGGGGCUAGCGUUGUUCGGAAUUACUGGGCGUAAAGCGCGCGUAGGCGGACUGUUAAGUCGGGGGUGAAAUCCCGGGGCUCAACCCCGGAACUGCCUCUGAUACUGGCAGUCUGGAGUUCUGGAGAGGUGAGUGGAAUUCCGAGUGUAGAGGUGAAAUUCGUAGAUAUUCGGAGGAACACCAGUGGCGAAGGCGGCUCACUGGCCAGACACUGACGCUGAGGUGCGAAAGCGUGGGGAGCAAACAGG
rnacentral:rRNA from 1 species